rnacentral:lncRNA from 1 species
CUUAUCAAAGCGAGGGAUUCGUUUCAGGCGCAAUCAAAUCAGAAGCAAUUUCCGCUCUACCAUUAAUUGUUGCUAUUUCCGCACCCCUGUCCGGUGGUUUGAGAAAGAAAGUCGAGACAUUCAGAAAGAGAGUUAUGGCAUUUCUAGCAUUGAAAAUCCCUAUUCUUAUUGAAUAGUUCAAAUAACUAGUUGAAUAUACCUAUUACAUUUAGAUUGAGAGUUAUGGCAUUUCUAGCAUUGAAAUCCCUUCUUAUUGAAUUGUUCAAAUAACUAGUUGAAUAUACCUAUUCUUUUCAAGA